AUGCUAUUAUAUUUAGUCGUCUGUAAGUGAUAGACGUUUCCUGACCUUGCGAUUUAUUUACACAUGUACGAUUAGGUCAGAAAUUUAGCCAUAUUAAACUCGAUUCUUCUUAGGAAAAGAAAUCUACUAAAACUUGAGAAUCAUAUAUUAUAUUAAUCAAACGGAACUUUUAAAAAUUUAAUCAAAACAACACACGAAAGAAUGAGUUUCAAAAUAAGCUUGUUAUUCGUACUUGUUACCUACGGCAUGUGUAACAUUGUAUACCCAAAUUUGAAUCCUAAUAUACUUGAUGCAAAAAAAUAUAGAGCAAUUUAUGGAAGACCUGAUUUUUGUGAUUAUGAUUAUAGCUUUGGUGAUUGCGACAAAGCGGAGAGUCCUAACGAAAUACGUGGUCAGUUAAGAUAUUGGUAUAAUAUGGAAGAAGGAACAUGUAACAUUUUUAUAUACGGUGGUUGCGGAGGAAAUAAAAAUAAUUUUUAUACAAAGGAAAAGUGUAUGGAUUUGUGUAAUGAAAAUGUAGAAUUCUAGAUGCACCUUAGAUAUAAAAUUGUUAAGAAUUUCUAUAUAUUGAUAUGUAUUUAUAACAGUUUGACUUUAAAUAGAAAUACUAAAUGAAAGACUCUGCAAAGUCUUCAUAAAAUGCUUGUAAAAGUGUUUUAUUUUUACAAUAAAUGACUGUAAUAAAAUGAAAUGUACGGAUGUGUACAUAAAAUA